UACGAAGGGGGCUAGCGUUGUUCGGAAUCACUGGGCGUAAAGGGCGCGUAGGCGGCCGAUUAAGUCGGGGGUGAAACCCUGUGGCUCAACCACAGAAUUGCCUUCGAUACUGAUUGGCUUGAGACCGGAAGAGGUCAGUGGAACUGCGAGUGUAGAGGUGAAAUUCGUAGAUAUUCGCAAGAACACCAGUGGCGAAGGCGGCUGACUGGUCCGGUUCUGACGCUGAGGCGCGAAAGCGUGGGGAGCAAACAGG
rnacentral:rRNA from 1 species